rnacentral:tRNA from 1 species
GGUUCCAUAGAGUAGUGGUUAGCACGUCUGCUUUGCACGCAGAAGGUCCUGGGUUCAAGCCCCAGCGGAGCCA